CAGGGGGGGCAAGCGUUGUUCGGAAUUACUGGGCGUAGAGGGUUCGUAGGUGGCCACUUAAGUCAGACGUGAAAUCCCUCAGCUUAACUGGGGAACUGCGUCUGAUACUGCGUGGCUUGAGUGCAGGAGAGGGAUGCGGAAUUCCAGGUGUAGCAGUGAAAUGCGUAGAUAUCUGGAGGAACACCGGCGGCGAAGGCGGCAUCCUGGACUGUAACUGACACUGAGGAACGAAAGCCAGGGGAGCAAACGGGAUUAGAUACCCCGGUAGUCCUGGCCCUAAACGAUGAAUGCUUGGUGUGGCGGGUAUCGAUCCCUGCCGUGCCGCAGUUAACGCGAUAAGCAUUCCGCCUGGGGAGUACGGUCGCAAGGCUG
rnacentral:rRNA from 1 species